rnacentral:rRNA from 1 species
AAUAGAUACCCGGGUAGUCCACGCCGUAAACGAUGAGUGCUAACGUGUUAGAGGGUUUCCGCCCUUUAGUGCUGCAGGCUAACGCAUUAAGCACUCCGCCUGGGGAGUACGGCCGCAAGGCUGAAACUCAAAGGAAUUGACGGGGGGCCCGCACAAGCGGUGGAGCAUGUGGUUUAAUUCGAAGCAACGCGAAGAACCUUACCAGGUCUUGACAUCCUCUGCCAACCCUAGAGAUAGGGGCGUUCCCCCUUCGGGGGGACAGAGUGACAGGUGGUGCAUGGUUGUCGUCAGCUCGUGUCGUGAGAUGUUGGGUUAAGUCCCGCAACGAGCGCAACCCUUGAUCUUAGUUGCCAGCAUUUAGUUGGGCACUCUAAGGUGACUGCCGGUGACAAACCGGAGGAAGGUGGGGAUGACGUCAAAUCAUCAUGCCCCUUAUGACCUGGGGCUACACACGUGCUACAAUGGAUGGUACAAAGAGCUGCGAACCCGCGAGGGUAAGCUAAUCUCAUAAAGCCAUUCUCAGUUCGGAUUGUAGGCUCG